rnacentral:rRNA from 1 species
GACGAACGCUGGCGGCGUGCUUAACACAUGCAAGUCGAACGGAAAGGCCCUGCUUUUGUGGGGUGCUCGAGUGGCGAACGGGUGAGUAACACGUGAGUAACCUGCCCUUGACUUUGGGAUAACUUCAGGAAACUGGGGCUAAUACCGGAUAGGAGCUCCUGCUGCAUGGUGGGGGUUGGAAAGUUUCGGCGGUUGGGGAUGGACUCGCGGCUUAUCAGCUUGUUGGUGGGGUAGUGGCUUACCAAGGCUUUGACGGGUAGCCGGCCUGAGAGGGUGACCGGCCACAUUGGGACUGGGAUACGGCCCAGACUCCUACGGGAGGCAGCAGUGGGGGAUAUUGCACAAUGGGCGGAAGCCUGAUGCAGCAACGCCGCGUGCGGGAAGACGGCCUUCGGGUUGUAAACCGCUUUCGCCUGUGACGAAGCGUGAGUGACGGUAAUGGGUAAAGAAGCACCGGCUAACUACGUG